AUUUGGAUUUUGCAAGCCAUCUUGCAAGUUCAUGAGUUCAGGAACACUCAACAACAUUAUCUUCCAUUCCAGAGGACGAACGAUUCACAAAAAAUUGCAGAGAGAGAGAGAGAAAGACAAAGAAAUGGAGAUUAGUGUAGCUGCAGCUACAGCAGCAGCAGCCGCUAUGCCCAUGCAUGUAGUAGAGGGUCACACGACCAAGAAAACCAUGGAGCUAAAAUGGGUGAGCAGAAGCAGCAGUGGCGGAAAAAUCCAAAUGGGAAAAACCAUGAAAACGCCAUUAGAAUCGAAACCAAAAGCACCAGCAACCCUGCAAGCCCUGGUCCCAGUUUUCAUAUCCACAAACCCAUCCCACGUGAACCCAGAUGACCUCAGUGACCUCUUCAUCGCGUGCAACCUCUCAUGCCACCGUUUCCCCAAUUACGUGGACGCCGGCGGUGGCCGCUGCGUCGUUGAAGCUGUGGACUUGCACAAGCUGCGCGUCGCUCUCUCCCACAGUUCAGUCUUGGUCUCAGUCUUCUGCAAGCCAAAUGAUGUGAUUGGUUGCUGUUCAUCAUCUUCAUCAUGUUUGAAGGAAAAGCAGCAGCAGCAGCAGAAGAAGAAGAUAGUGGGUUUUGGAGAGUUGUUGCAGAAUGUGGUGAUGCCUGUUACCCCAUUGAACAGUCAAUUGGUUGGCUUUGGGCGUGCAGUUUCUGAUCUUGGACUCACUGCCUCCAUCUACGAUGUCAUGGUGCUUCCUUCAUUGCGGGGAAUGGGAAUUGGCAGGAUGAUAGUUAAAAGAAUCAUAAGAAUGCUCACAAGUAGAGACAUCUAUGACAUAGCAGCCCUUUGCUCAGAGAAUGAGAGGUCGUUCUUCGAAGUGUGCGGUUUUGGGGAUGACAUUUUAGGCUCCACUGCAAUGAUGUAUACGAGGAGUAGCGUUUCAACUAAUCCUCAAGACAACCAGAUUGUUAAACCUGCCGGUCGAAAGCUAUUGUUAGUUCCACCACUUUCGAAGACCUUGCCAUACUCCAAGACCAUGAAAUCAUGAAGUUGAGCCACAGUUUUUAACUCGGCUGAAGCACCAAGAUGAGAAGAUUUUUGUGUGCUCUGUUGGUUGUCUCUAUUUUGGCUUGAAGAUGUUGCAUAAUCAAAUUAUAACAAAAGAGCCAAAAUGGGUUCUCUUUUUCUUUUUCCUGGAGGGGGGAGGCUAGUUCACUUGUAAUCUGAUUCCUGCCCAUCUGUGAUGCACUUAUUGCUGAGGAAAAGAAGUUUGACAAAAGGGGUUACCCCAUAAUGUUGCUCGGGU